GAUGAACGCUGGCGGCGUGCCUAAUACGUGCAAGUCGAGCGAACAGACGAGGAGCUUGCUCCUCUGACGUUAGCGGCGGACGGGUGAGUAACACGUGGAUAACCUACCUAUAAGACUGGGAUAACUUCGGGAAACCGGAGCUAAUACCGGAUAAUAUAUUGAACCGCAUGGUUCAAUAGUGAAAGACGGUUUUGCUGUCACUUAUAGAUUGAUCCGCGCCGCAUUAGCUAGUUGGUAAGGUAACGGCUUACCAAGGCAACGAUGCGUAGCCGACCUGAGAGGGUGAUCGGCCACACUGGAACUGAGACUCGGUCCAGACUCCUACGGGAGGCAGCAGUAGGGAAUCUUCCGCAAUGGGCGAAAGCCUGACGGAGCAACGCCGCGUGAGUGAUGAAGGUCUUCGGAUCGUAAAACUCUGUUAUUAGGGAAGAACAAAUGUGUAAGUAACUAUGCACGUCUUGACGGUACCUAAUCAGAAAGCCACGGCUAACUACGUG
rnacentral:rRNA from 1 species